GAAAUGCGAUAAGUAAUGUGAAUUGCAGAAUUCAGUGAAUCAUCGAAUCUUUGAACGCACAUUGCGCCCGCCAGUAUUCUGGCGGGCAUGCCUGUCCGAGCGUCAUUUCAACCAUCAAGCCCCCGGGCUUGUGUUGGGGACCUGCGGCUGCCCGCAGGCCCUGAAAACCAGUGGCGGGCUCGCUGUCACACCGAGCGUAGUAGCAAUGACCUCGCUCAGGGCGUGCUGCGGGUUCCGGCCGUUAAACAGCCUUACAAAACCCAAGGUUGACCUCGGAUCAGGUAGGAAGACCCGCUGAACUUAAGC
rnacentral:misc_RNA from 1 species